CAGCAGCCACGGUAAUACGUAGGUGGCAAGCGUUGUCCGGAAUUAUUGGGCGUAAAGGGCUCGCAGGCGGUUUCUUAAGUCUGAUGUGAAAGCCCCCGGCUCAACCGGGGAGGGUCAUUGGAAACUGGGAAACUUGAGUGCAGAAGAGGAGAGUGGAAUUCCACGUGUAGCGGUGAAAUGCGUAGAGAUGUGGAGGAACACCAGUGGCGAAGGCGACUCUCUGGUCUGUAACUGACGCUGAGGAGCGAAAGCGUGGGGAGCGAACAGGAUUAGAUACCCCCGUAGUCCCUGUCUCUUAUAU
rnacentral:rRNA from 1 species